GACGAACGCUGGCGGCGUGCUUAACACAUGCAAGUCGAACGAUGAACCCGGAGCUUGCUCUGGGGGAUUAGUGGCGAACGGGUGAGUAACACGUGAGUAACCUGCCCUGGACUCUGGGAUAAGCGUUGGAAACGACGUCUAAUACCGGAUAGGACCUUGGAUCGCAUGAUCUGGGGUGGAAAGUUUUUUCGGUCUGGGAUGGACUCGCGGCCUAUCAGCUUGUUGGUGAGGUAAUGGCUCACCAAGGCGUCGACGGGUAGCCGGCCUGAGAGGGUGACCGGCCACACUGGGACUGAGACACGGACCAGACUCCUACGGGAGGCAGCAGUGGGGAAUAUUGCACAAUGGGCGAAAGCCUGAUGCAGCAACGCCGCGUGCGGGAUGACGGCCUUCGGGUUGUAAACCGCUUUUAGUAGGGAAGAAGGGCUUCGGCUUGACGGUACCUGCAGAAAAAGGACCGGCUAACUACGUG
rnacentral:rRNA from 1 species